rnacentral:hammerhead_ribozyme from 1 species
GCAGUGCUGAGGAGUCUCAUAAUAGGACGAAACGGCCGUCCAGUGC